rnacentral:misc_RNA from 1 species
AAGUCGUAACAAGGUUUCCGUAGGUGAACCUGCGGAAGGAUCAUUACUGAGGAACUCGCACCGUUGCUGCUGGCCUUCGGGCAUGUGCACGCGGUUGCACUCUUCUUAUUCCACACCUGUGAACCGUUAUAACGAGUCGGAGUUCGCUUCGACUCGCUUUACUAUACACUCCUUCGAACAACUCAGAACGUCUUUUGCAUUAUUAAAUGUAACAACUUUCAACAACGGAUCUCUUGGCUCUC